UUUUUCUUUCAUUUCAUAUCUCUUCUCUCUUAUUCUUUUUCUCUUCCUCUUUCUUUUUCUUCUUCUCUUCCUCAUUCUCUUUUUCUUUCCUUUCCUUCCUUUUCCUCUUUUCCUUCGAUUCUUUCUUUCUUAACCUUAACGACCAAAUCCCAUUUCUCUCCUCUUUCACGAGGCUAAGGUUAAAUAUAAGCAUGGAUGGAACAAGUCACUCACCUCACGAGUGCAUUUCAGCGUGAUGCGGCAAUGCGGCUGGACGGCGUUUUCUAAAAUUACGUGAAAAAGAAGAAUUAACCGAAGAAAAAUUCAAAGGACGAUCAUAUACUUUGCCUUCCAAUCGACAAUCGAGUAACGUUCUACUUUCGACCGUUUUUGAUAGCGCAUGAAACACGCUAAAAAAGGGAAUAUGUACAUAUCGAAAAGGACAAACAACUUUUUACCCAAACUAUGGUCUGAUGCGAAAGAUGCAAUUGGAACUCGAGCAAGAAAUUUUCUUUUAAAGAUUUGUAAUAUAAAUACAUAGGUUCUUAUCUUGAAACGAGCGAGACGGGUGAAA